CGUGAACAGUAACUCCGAACAGUAACACUUUUUUUUUUUUUUUUUUUUAGAACAACUAUGAAGAAAUUGGAAAAAUAAUAACUCGAUUGCUCACGCUAAAAGUUUAUUUGUUUGUACUGUUCCACAAGUUUUUGGGAAAGAAAUAGGAAGAGAUUUUUGGAUUGGAGAUGAGAGAUUACCCAAGUUUAGGCUCUGAUACCAAAUUUGAUGCAGCACCAAUGGGACAAUUCAUUGAGAAAUAGAACAGAUCUAUAGGGAGAGGGAAUUAAAGAGAAGAAUGGGGAAUUAAAGAGGGGAAGAAGAAGAAUUUAAUAGAAGAGGGCAGAAUAAGGGGAGGGAUGCGCCAUAAGCCACCAAAAUAAUUAUCCAUUCAUCAUCAACUGUCUCAAAUGAGAAACAAAACAGAAAUAAAUAGUAGAACACAAACCCUAAAGAGAAGGGCUUGGGCCAAACCCACUAAACAAGCCCAAUAACAGAAAUAUAAAUAAUAAUCCAAAUAGAAUAUAACUAAUAGUCCAAAAAGAAAAUAAAUAGUAAAUGGAAGAAAAUAAAUAGUAAAUGGAUGUCCGCAUCAGUU
rnacentral:lncRNA from 1 species